ACCUGGGUAUUUUGCUCCCGCGGGCCAGCUGUGUUUUAUUUUAUUUUAUUAUUAUUAUUAUUUUCCUGACUUGCCAGAGAUCCGAAGGCAGAAAUGACAGGCAGCCUUGGCCACUCCGGUCACCGCUGCGGUCCUAACCGCCCCAGCUGCUUACGGCAUCUCACGCGGGCUUCCAGCGAGCAGUAAAACCUGGGUGAUGUGCAUCCUUCCUAGGAGCCCCCUCCCUCCGCCUCCUCUGCUCACUGUAGAGAGCGGAGCUCUUCCGGGUUGCGCAGGGGGAGAGGGAGGGAGGAAAGAAGACUGAGCGGGGAAUGGAUUUCACCCCCUUGUGCAAACACGCAAACCACACAUCUGGGGUGUGUGAGGCCAGAGGAGCUGGGCCGGUGGGGCGGGGGGAGACUGCCUGCAACGUGAGCAGCCCCUGGCGCCUACAGGCCCACCGGCUCUGCCAGGGGUGGAAUCACCACUGCAAAUGUCAUCGCCAGUGUUGACUGGGUCAUUACCCCCCCCCCUCAAGAUAUAAAAGCUUUUGCAGAGUCUCUUCGUCCCAUUUUUUUGGAGCGAGUGGGGACCCAGUGGGAGCGUCUAGAGGAUGGAUUUCCGAAUCCCAGGCUGUACCCGGAGUCCCCUCCCAACAACUGACAACACUAGCAACCUCCCAGCUUCAGGAAGUAGAAGGGGCAGGAGUCACCGGUAAUUUGCUUUUUAAGCUCGUGCCUGUUGAUUACUUUCUGGUUGCUUGGAUCAAACAAUCGUUGCAAAUAUGCAAACCAGCAAGAGGAGAUUCAUACAUAUCCACUCUCCAAUUGUUCCUCCUGACGUCAGAUCAUAAUUUCUUGGUAAUUGGAUGGCUUGCACCCGAAUAACGCGCAUCUGAAAUUCUCUACGUUUCUCUAGGUUGCAGUAGAUUUUGUACUGGGAGUGUAGGGUGGAGUUGGGGGCAGGAUUUGGGUUGUUUGGUUUUUUUGUGUUUUUUUUUUUAAGAAUACUUUCCAGUUCACCAUAGUCCUAUUUUU
rnacentral:lncRNA from 12 species